rnacentral:rRNA from 1 species
GACGAACGCUGGCGGCGUGCUUAACACAUGCAAGUCGAACGGUAAGGCCCUUCGGGGUACACGAGUGGCGAACGGGUGAGUAACACGUGGGCGAUCUGCCCUGCACUUCGGGAUAAGCCUGGGAAACUGGGUCUAAUACCGGAUAGGACUCCUGGCUUCAUGGUUGGGGGUGGAAAGCUUUUGCGGUGGGGGAUGGGCCCGCGGCCUAUCAGCUUGUUGGUGGGGUAAUGGCCUACCAAGGCGACGACGGGUAGCCGGCCUGAGAGGGUGACCGGUCACACUGGGACUGAGAUACGGCCCAGACUCCUACGGGAGGCAGCAGUGGGGAAUAUUGCACAAUGGGCGCAAGCCUGAUGCAGCGACGCCGCGUGAGGGAUGACGGCCUUCGGGUUGUAAACCUCUUUCAGCUAUGACGAAGCGCAAGUGACGGUAGUAGCAGAAGAAGGACCGGCCAACUACGUGCCAGCCGCCGCCGUAACAC